CAGCAUAUUAUGCAGGUGGACCGAUUGU
rnacentral:piRNA from 1 species